CCACUCCAGCAUUACAGUGAACAUAGACUGUGUGACCAUUUUCCAGGAGACCAUGAAGCAGGAAUACAGCCUGGGGAAGCAUCCUGAUGCGUCCUGUAGAAGGGAAUAAUAACACAAUGGCAAUAUUCAUCUGUAUGGAUUGUAUUUGUCAUCAAAUCCCUUUAAAAGGAUUUACAGUACAUUACAGUCAAAAUAAACUUCUGACAUCAACAGGUACCAAUGUAGGUGGUGUAGCUGCUGUAAAUAUACUUUAUAUAGACUUUCUGUGACUUGUUAAUGAGAUUUCUUAGUGUGAUCACACACAAGAUGCUUUUGUCUUGGAUACUCUAAGAUUUUUUUUUUUUUUUUACUAGAAUUCAUCAUGGACACAUGGAUUCUUCUUUUGUGACUGGCACGAUACAUGAGUGACCAAUUGGGUGACAGUACACUCCAUCCACCAUGUUCCUCUUAUCAUAUGAACAACUUCUGUCGUGGUGUGGACCAUUGCCUGUUGACAAAGAAGACAACAUUUGUGCAGGUCGGACAACUCUGCUUGAAAUUCCUUGAUCAUCUCCUUAGGCUCAGACUCGUCAAAUCGUUCUUCAGGGUAUGAACCCAAGGGAACCUGCCAAAAGAACAAUAACAAAACAGGAAAUCAGACUGACACAGCAAUUUGUCAAGGGUCUCCAGAAUUGUCUCCAUGCUUGACUCCCCCUUGGUAGUUGGAGGUGGUUUGCGCAGCAGGAGCGAGCCAUUGGGCAUCCAGGAGCUGUAGUCAAACUAAAUCACAAAAUAAGCUUCACUUCAGGCCGUCAUCUCUGUAGUAGAAGUUGGGGAUUGACUCCAGUCCUCGUGCAGUGAUGUUCUCCGGCAGACAGAGGGAGCUGUAGGUCAACUCAGAGAGAGACCUUCUCUGGAUCUCUAUCAGCCCCUCAUAUCCAAGUGAACUCUAGUAAUUAAUAACACACAAAUAAUUAGGUUCAGAUAAGUUUCAUGAGGUAGAAAAUAAUAAAAACUGUUUUUAAAGAGUGCAUUA